AGUAAAAAUUGGUGUAGUGAAAAAGAAAGUUAAGAGAAGAAGAAAAUCUAAGUCUUCAACUUAUUAUCUACAAUUAAAAAGAAUAUUAUUUUGUUGAAGGAAAGUGUUCAUUUUGGUGGAGUUUUGGACUCAACAACUUGUCCAGAGUUUAUUCGAGUCAUAUGAUAUUGUCCGGUUAUUGUAUCCUGAAAGGGACAAGUCAAGAGUAUUACUGCUGGACCGGUGAAAAUGCUAUUGCAGUGGGCUUGAAUCUCCUUAAAGAGAGCAAGAUAUCCGCGCCUCAACUUGAAGAAUAUUUAUUUAAUUUUUUUCAUCUUAUUUUUCAACUGUAGUUAUUUAUAAUUUUACAAACUAUUUUAAGGAGAUUCAAUUUUUAUGCAGUUGAAGAAACAGCGGAUAUCAAGAUAGAAGUUCACUCUAUUUAUGAGAUGGGAAGGUGAAAAAAUUUCGACUUGCUUUACUCAAGCGGUGGAAAGAUUCACUAACCAAGGCCUUGGCAACAGAAAGGGUUUGGAGCAUAUCAAUGGAGAUGGGAUUGAAGCCUAUAAACUUAUAAGUCAUAUAUGACGAAACCCAACCCAGGGACUAGAGAUCCUAUAACCAGAAGCAAAAAGAGCCUCACACAAAGGAAUUUUCAACGUUGGGAUGGUGGCAUGAGAAUGAAAAGCAAUUUCCUGUUCUUUUCGCUAUGGCUCAGGACGUGCUAAAUAUGCCAAUUUCAACUGUUGCAUUAGAGAGUGCAUUUAGCCAAGCAAGACAACAACUUGGAAACACCCGUCACACAUUGGGAAGCAAUGUUUUGGAAGUUUUAGUAUGUUUCAGAGAUUGGAUUAGAUCGGAACGAAGAAAUCAAGGACGUGAAGAUGUUGAU